rnacentral:rRNA from 1 species
GAAUGCUGACAUAAGUAACGAUAAAGCGGGUGAAAAGCCCGCUCGCCGGAAGACCAAGGGUUCCUGUCCAACGUUAAUCGGGGCAGGGUGAGUCGACCCCUAAGGCGAGGCCGAAAGGCGUAGUCGAUGGGAAACAGGUUAAUAUUCCUGUACUUGGUGUUACUGCGAAGGGGGGACGGAGAAGGCUAUGUUGGCCGGGCGACGGUUGUCCCGGUUUAAGCGUGUAGGCUGGUUUUCCAGGCAAAUCCGGAAAAUCAAGGCUG